UACGUAGGGGCCUAGCGUUGUCCGGAAUUAUUGGGCGUAAAGAGCUCGUAGGCGGAUCGUUAAGUCGGGGGUGAAAUCCUGGAGCUCAACUCCAGAACUGCCUUUGAUACUGGCAACCUAGAGGCUGGAAGAGGUUAGUGGAAUUCCCAGUGUAGAGGUGAAAUUCGUAGAUAUUGGGAAGAACACCAGUGGCGAAGGCGGCUAACUGGUCCAGAUCUGACGCUGAGGUGCGAAAGCGUGGGGAGCAAACAGG
rnacentral:rRNA from 1 species